GUGCUUGCUUCAGCAGCACAUAUACAGAAAUUAGAAAGAUACAGAGUAGAUUAGCAUGGCCCCGAUCAAGAAUGACACACAAAUUUGUAAAGCAUUCCAUAUUUUU
ensembl:snRNA U6 U6 spliceosomal RNA